rnacentral:rRNA from 1 species
CUACGGAGGGUGCAAGCGUUAAUCGGAAUUACUGGGCGUAAAGCGCGCGUAGGUGGUUUUGUAAGUUGGAUGUGAAAUCCCUGGGCUCAACCUGGGAACUGCAUUCAAAACUGCAAGACUAGAGUAUAGUAGAGGCAAGUGGAAUUCCAGGUGUAGCGGUGAAAUGCGUAGAUAUCUGGAGGAACAUCAGUGGCGAAGGCGACUUGCUGGACUAAUACUGACACUGAGGUGCGAAAGCGUGGGUAGCAAACAGGAUUAGAUACCCCAGUAGUCC